rnacentral:rRNA from 1 species
UACGUAGGGGGCAAGCGUUAUCCGGAUUUACUGGGUGUAAAGGGAGCGCAGGCGGCAGGAUGAGUCUGAUGUGAAAACCCGCGGCUCAACCACGGGAUUGCAUUGGAAACUGUCCAGCUAGAGUGUCGGAGAGGUAAGCGGAAUUCCUAGUGUAGCGGUGAAAUGCGUAGAUAUUAGGAGGAACACCAGUGGCGAAGGCGGCUUACUGGACGAUGACUGACGCUGAGGCUCGAAAGCGUGGGGAGCAAACAGG